GGGAAAGUCACGUUGAUUUCACUCCUUUAGCUUCGGUGAGACUGGACAAGUCAGGAGCUCAACACUAGGGAAGGACCGUCAAGUAUUAUGCAUUGAGAUAUGCUGUUUUCUCUUUAAAUAGAGGUAUCAAAACAUCACAAUUCAGAUCAUGACAACAAUAUAUGGGUUCACUAAGCAGUGACUUGUGGGGUCUUGGAAUGUCUGAGCGAGAAUAGCUACGCUGGAAAAAC